rnacentral:rRNA from 1 species
GCCUACGGGACGCAGCAGUGAGGAAUAUUGGUCAAUGGUCGGGAGACUGAACCAGCCAAGCCGCGUGAGGGAUGAAGGUACAGAGUAUCGUAAACCUCUUUUGUCAGGGAACAAAGGCGGGGACGUGUCCCCGGAUGAGUGUACCUGAAGAAAAAGCAUCGGCUAACUCCGUGCCAGCAGCCGCGGUAAUACGGAGGAUGCGAGCGUUAUCCGGAUUUAUUGGGUUUUAAGGGUGCGCAGGCGGUCUGUUAAGUCAGCGGUCAAAGCCCGGGGCUCAACCCCGGCCCGCCGUUGAAACUGGCAGG